rnacentral:rRNA from 1 species
UGAGGAACAUGCCCUUCGGCGGGGGAUAGCCGGCCCAACGGCCGGGUAAUACCGCGUACGACCACAUGGGGACAUCCCUGAGUGGUGAAAGCAGCAAUGCGCCGAUGGAGUGCCUCGCGGCCUAUCAGCUAGUUGGUGGGGUAACGGCCUACCAAGGCAACGACGGGUAGCUGGUCUGAGGGGAUGGCCAGCCACAUUGGGACUGAGACACGGCCCAGACUCCUACGGGAGGNAGCG